rnacentral:ncRNA from 1 species
CUAUCGUUUGCCGGUCACUGAAAAACAGUGAUCGGGUUUGGUAGACCCGUAGC